UACGAGAGGCCCAAACGUUAUUCGGAAUUACUGGGCUUAAAGAGUUCGUAGGCGGCGCGGAAAGUGGGGUGUGAAAGCCCUCGGCUCAACCGAGGAAUUGCGCUCCAAACUGCCGUGCUUGAGGGACCUAGAGGUGAGCGGAACUGAUGGUGGAGCGGUGAAAUGCGUUGAUAUCGUCUGGAACGCCGGUGGCGAAAGCGGCGGGCUGGACCUCUUCUGACGCUGAGGCGCGAAAGCCAGGGGAGCGAACGGG
rnacentral:rRNA from 1 species